UACGAAGGGGGCUAGCGUUGCUCGGAUUGACUGGGCGUAAAGGGCGCGUAGGCGGUUCGUACAGUCAGACGUGAAAUUCCUGGGCUCAACCUGGGGGCUGCGUUUGAUACGUGCGGACUUGAGUGCGGAAGAGGGUCGUGGAAUUCCCAGUGUAGAGGUGAAAUUCGUAGAUAUUGGGAAGAACACCGGUGGCGAAGGCGGCGCUCUGGACCGAGACUGACGCUGAGGCGCGAAAGCGUGGGGAGCAAACAGG
rnacentral:rRNA from 1 species